GAUGAACGCUGGCGGCGUGCCUAAUACAUGCAAGUCGAGCGAACGGACGAGAAGCUUGCUUCUCUGAUGUUAGCGGCGGACGGGUGGGUAACACGUGGAUAACCUACCUAUAAGACUGGGAUAACUUCGGGAAACCGUAGCUAAUACCGGAUAAUAUUUUGAACCGCAUGGUUCAAAAGUGAAAGACGGUCUUGCUGUCACUUAUAGAUGGAUCCGCGCUGCAUUAGCUAGUUGGUAAGGUAACGGCUUACCAAGGCAACGAUGCAUAGCCGACCUGAGAGGGGGUUGCCGCCCUGUGGGGCUGACACGCGGUCCAGGCCCUGAGGGGAGGCCCAGGCAGGGAAGCUUCCCAAAAGGGGGAAAGCUUGACGAAUGAGCGGCGCGUUGGUGAAGAAACGCCGCGUGUGGGAAAACGCUUUUCUGGGGGAAAAACAUUUGUGUAUGUAACUGAGCACGUGUGACGGUAACCGAUAAAGAAGCCCCGGCUAAAUACGUG
rnacentral:rRNA from 1 species